CCGCUCUCUCCAAGAAGCAUACUUGAUUUUCUAGACUCCCGGUGGCCUCUGUAACUCACAAAAUCCAUGGGCUUAUUUUUUCAAGGUUAAUAUUCCACCUUACUCUGGAACUUUGUCUGUGAGUGCUCCAAAUAUGAAAAAAGCAAAUGAGGUGAACUUUCCAGAGAGAGUGUUCCUGGUGUCAGCGUGUAAGGACUAGUUCAAGCAUGGUUGGUGUUUCCAAGCUCCACUGAGAGGAAAAAUGAGUCCAGGUCACCUCUUGCCACAUUCUCCCCAGGUGUUGCUGUUUGCUACAUGCAAGCCCUUAUUUGGAUCUCCAAGCACCUUGGUCCUAAAGGUAAGAAUUGGCGAUGUUGUACGGAAAAUCAUUUCUUGUUUUUGAAGGCUACUUUCAGUGCCUGAACUCAGGUUUUGGAGAUAUCCCAUUCCAUUUCUCCACAGUUCCUCCCCUUUCUCUAAAUGGGAAAGCACAUCUAUUUUGAGGCUCUAAUAUUCCACUGAGACUGGAAGAUUGAUAAUCUCUAGCAUGCCACCUCUGAACAGAUUUCUCUGGGAUGUGUCCAGGGCAGCC
rnacentral:lncRNA from 1 species